rnacentral:rRNA from 1 species
CAAAGCACUUUGAAGAGAGAGUUAAAGAGGACGUGAAACCGGUAAGGUGGAAACGGAUAGAGUCGGCGUAUCAUUCAAUUAUUCAGUUACAUUAUUUUUAUGUUGUGACCUCUGAGCUCCAGAUUGGGACAGAGGGAAUCAGCAUAAUUUUUUGUGGUGCAUUUACUUGAUUGGUGCUUGGGGAUGUUUGAGGCAGAUUUGUUUCCGUCGUUUUGAGGCCAGCUUGCUGGUACCCAAACGGUGUUAGCAUUUUUUGUCUUGGGCAUUUGAGUAUGGCUCACGUGUAUUUAUUGGACAGAUCUGAGUGUAAGUUACGGUCGCAUGCGACACGUGCUUUUCAAUUAGUUCGGUCCAGUUAAUGCUCUCGUACUCGUUCCCCAUGUAAAAGCCGGUCAUCUAUCCGACCCGUCUUGAAACACGGACCAAGGAGUUUAUCGUGUGCGCAAGUUUUUGGGUGUUAAAAACUUAAAAGCGAAAUGAAAGUAAAUGACUCUUUAGAGUCUGAUGUGCGAUCUUGUAAAAAAGUGUAGCAUGGCCCCAUUCUAACUGUUUACAGUAGGGUGGCGGAAGAGCGUACGCGGUGAGACCCGAAAGAUGGUGAACUAUUCCUGAGCAGGACGAAGCCAGAGGAAACUCUGGUGGAAGUCCGAAGCGGUUCUGACGUGCAAAUCGAUCGUCUGACUUGGGUAUAGGGGCGAAAGACUAAUCGAACCA